GACGAACGCUGGCGGCGUGCUUAACACAUGCAAGUCGAACGAAGAGCGAUGGAAGCUUGUUUCUAUCAAUCUUAGUGGCGAACGGGUGAGUAACGCGUAAUCAACCUGCCCUUCAGAGGGGGACAACAGUUGGAAACGACUGCUAAUACCGCAUACGAUCCAAUCUCGGCAUCGGGACUGGAUGAAAGGUGGCCUCUAUUUAUAAGCUAUCGCUGGAGGAGGGGAUUGCGUCUGAUUAGCUAGUUGGAGGGGUAACGGCCCACCAAGGCAAUGAUCAGUAGCCGGUCUGAGAGGAUGAACGGCCACAUUGGGACUGAGACACGGCCCAGACUCCUACGGGAGGCAGCAGUGGGGAAUCUUCCGCAAUGGACGAAAGUCUGACGGAGCAACGCCGCGUGAGUGAUGACGGCCUUCGGGUUGUAAAGCUCUGUUAAUCGGGACGAAUGGUUCUUGUGCAAAUAGUGCGAGGAUUUGACG
rnacentral:rRNA from 1 species